GAACAAGCAAUGUUGCUUAUUUGAUAUAUCACGUGGCAGUGGAUGGUGUAAAUGAGCAAGGACAGCAGUGAUGAAAGGACAUCCCAGGAGAAGCACACUGGACCCAUAAAAGGAGGUGCCAGCCUGCUGAAACAGUUCCACAGUCAUGCUCAACAGUGGUGCAGCCUGACCUGCUGAGUUCCUCUCCUAUUUCCUUUGUGUUGCUCAACAUUUCACCAAGCAUGGCAUCAAG